GAGAGAGAGUGUGAGGAGGGAGGAACGGAGUAAGAGAAGCAGCCGAUGGGACGGAAUCACGCCGGCGACAGGGCCAUAUCCGAACGGAUUCACUCCUCUGCUCCGUCGUCCGUAUGUCGCCUCUCUGCAGAUAACAAAUAGACGGAGUUAAGAUAUCAAUUUCAAGCUUGAAAGAGAAAAGCCUGAGGUUCACUCAGCCUUUUGGAGCUGGUCAUCUUACCUGGCAUCCCUGUAAACCUCUCAAACUGUACAAAGGCCUGGUUGAUGAACAUCUCGGUUCCGUACACAGGGGUGGCUCCACACUCUUGAGCUUCCCUCAGGAGUCGGGUCAAUUUCGGGGUGUAGA